rnacentral:rRNA from 1 species
GCCCUUGAAGAAAUCAAAGGUGUAACCUGCCCAAUGGUUCUUAAUUAAGUAGCAAGAAACUUUCUAGAAGAGAACUUAAAGGACGCGGUAUCUUGACCGUGGUAAUGUAGCAUAAUCACUCGCCAUUUAAUUGAUGGAUAGUAUGAAUGGUUAAACGAAUAUUACACUGUCUUUAAUAAAAAUUAUAUGAAAUUAAAAUAAUAGUAAAGAUGCUAUUUUAAACUGUAAGACGAAAAGACCCUAUAGAGCUUAACUAUAACUUCUUUUUGAUAAAUAAUAAGUAAAAGCUUUAAAAAUAAGGGAAGUUGGUAGUUUAGUUGGGGCGACUAUCUUCUAUAACUAACGAAGACAAGCAAUGUUAAUGAGAAAUUUAUUGUAUAACUUAUAAGUUUAACAAUUAUAAUAAUAGGCCAUAAUGACCCAUUAAACCUAAAGAGUAAGUUUAAUGAUCAAUAGAUAAAAGCUACCUUAGGGAUAACAGGAUAAUUUUGUUUUAGAGAUCAUAUCGAAAACAAAGUUUGUCACCUCUAUGUUGAAUUAAGAUAUCCUAGUUGUGUAGCAGCUACUAAGGGUAGGUCUGUUCGACCUUUAAAAUCUU